rnacentral:rRNA from 1 species
AGUGAACGCUGGCGGUAGGCCUAACACAUGCAAGUCGAACGGCAGCACAGUAAGAGCUUGCUCUUACGGGUGGCGAGUGGCGGACGGGUGAGGAAUACAUCGGAAUCUACUUUUACGUGGGGGAUAACGUAGGGAAACUUACGCUAAUACCGCAUACGACCUACGGGUGAAAGCAGGGGAUCUUCGGACCUUGCGCGAUUGAAUGAGCCGAUGUCGGAUUAGCUAGUUGGCGGGGUAAAGGCCCACCAAGGCGACGAUCCGUAGCUGGUCUGAGAGGAUGAUCAGCCACACUGGAACUGAGACACGGUCCAGACUCCUACGGGAGGCAGCAGUGGGGAAUAUUGGACAAUGGGCGCAAGCCUGAUCCAGCCAUACCGCGUGGGUGAAGAAGGCCUUCGGGUUGUAAGGCCCUUUUGUUGGGAAAGAAAAGCAGCAGGUUAAUACCCCGCUGUUCUGACGGUACCCAAAGAAUAAGCACCGGCUAACUUCGUG